GAUGAACGCUGGCGGCGUGCCUAAUACAUGCAAGUCGAGCGAACAGACGAGGAGCUUGCUUCUCUGACGUUAGCGGCGGACGGGUGAGUAACACGUGGAUAACCUACCUAUAAGACUGGGAUAACUUCGGGAAACCGGAGCUAAUACCGGAUAAUAUAUUGAACCGCAUGGUUCAAUAGUGAAAGACGGUUUUGCUGUCACUUAUAGAUGGAUCCGCGCCGCAUUAGCUAGUUGGUAAGGUAACGGCUUACCAAGGCAACGAUGCGUAGCCGACCUGAGAGGGUGAUCGGCCACACUGGAACUGAGACACGGUCCAGACUCCUACGGGAGGCAGCAGUAGGGAAUCUUCCGCAAUGGGCGAAAGCCUGACGGAGCAACGCCGUGUGAGUGAUGAUGGUCUUCGGAUCGUAAAACUCUGUUAUUAGGGAAGAACAAAUGUGUAAGUAACUAUGCACGUCUUGACGGUACCUAAUCAGAAAGCCACGGCUAACUACGUG
rnacentral:rRNA from 1 species